UACCAGACUCCUACGGGAGGCAGCAGUGAGGGAUAUUGGGCAAUGGGGGAAACCCUGACCCAGCGACGCCGCGUGAGGGAAGACGGUCUUCGGAUUGUAAACCUCUGUCUUUGGGGACGAAAAAGGACGGUACCCAAGGAGGAAGCACCGGCUAACUCCGUGCCAGCAGCCGCGGUAAUACGGAGGGUGCGAGCGUUAAUCGGAAUUACUAGGCGUAAAGCGCUCGUAGGCGGUAUGUCAAGUCAAGGGUGAAAUCCCCGCACUCAACGUGGGAACUGCCUUUGAAACUGGCAAACUGGAGUGUGUGAGAGGAUAGUGGAAUUCCAGGUGUAGGAGUGAAAUCCGUAGAUAUCUGGAGGAACAUCAGUGGCGAAGGCGACUAUCUGGCACAUAACUGACGCUGAGGAGCGAAAGCGUGGGUAGCAAACAGGAUUAGAUACCCCAGUACUA
rnacentral:rRNA from 1 species